UCCGUAGGUGGAUAAUUAAGUCAGAGGUGAAAGUCUGCAGCUCAACUGUAGAAUUGCCUUUGAUACUGGUUAUCUUGAGUCAUUAUGAAGUGGUUAGAAUAUGUAGUGUAGCGGUGAAAUGCAUAGAUAUUACAUAGAAUACCAAUUGCGAAGGCAGAUCACUAAUAAUGUACUGACACUGAUGGACGAAAGCGUGGGGAGCGAACAGGAUUAGAUACCCUGGUAGUCC
rnacentral:rRNA from 1 species